rnacentral:misc_RNA from 1 species
UAUUCUCAAUUCCCUUAGUGUUUUCUAAGGUGAUAUUGGACUUGGAGGUUGUUGCUGGCAUCAUUGUGAAAGUCAGCUCCUCUUAAAUGCAUUAGUGUGAAUGUUCAUUUCAUACUCAGUGUGAUAAUUAUCUGCACUGUGUAUAAGUGAUAAAGCUUCAUGCUUCUAAUCGUCGCAAGACAAUUCCUUUGAC